UCGCUGAUAAUUCUCUGUUCAUCACUAUGAGCUACGACCAACACAUUCACACUGACAGCUUAUAUAUCGGUGUUAUAAAAAAUAAGCAUUAUAGCUGCUUUAAUGUUGUGAGUAUCAGCUACAUGUGUGCAUAUUUCAGUGUCCGUAAAACACUGAAAAAAAGGACGUAAAAAGACACCAGACAGACCGUGUGGGUAAAGAAGAUGACUAAAAAAUGUGGGUGCAUCAUAUCCGGUGUAGACGAGACUUGAGAGUGUGUUUCUUUGCACGUCUUUAGUGGCUGUGUGUGUGUGUGUGUGUGUGUGUUUGUAUGUGUGUGUGUGUCUGCACUGUUUCUGCAGGUGCUGGCCAUAUUGAGAAAGAGAAGACAAAGAGGGAAGGCGAAGUCGAGGCGACAGGUACUUGGCAGCUCACAAGCAGAGUAAUGCUGCUUAAAUAGCCCUCUCUCCCACACGCAUGGACACACUUACAAGAGCCAGACCAUGCGAGACAGGUGUGCUGGAGUCAGAGCAGAGCCACACCAGCUGCACCUCAUCUCAGUAAUCAAGCCCUCUUCAUAUACUCAGCCCUGCCACUUCCACUCUGCCAGAUCGUAGCCUCUGCUUCAGCCCUCGUCUCGUCAGCCCUGCUUCCCUGCCCUGGGUCCCCGCUCUUCCCAGAUCCCAGGCCAAACCUCAGCCCCAUGUUCCCAGCUUCCAGCCAAAGACCAGCCCCAGGUUCCCAACUUCCAGCCAAAUACCAGC